rnacentral:lncRNA from 1 species
AUACAUAACAUUUUAUGGGGGUAAAAGAGAACUUAAAACAGUAUUUGUAAAGCAUUUAUUUAAUUUGUAGGAUGUCUUAGUCUAAUUGGGCUGCUGUAACAAAAAUAUCACUGAUUGGAUGGUUUAUAAACAGAAGAAAUGUACUGCUCUCAGUUCUGGAGCCUGGAAAACUGGGAUCAGGGGGCUGGCAUGGUCAGGUGGAGACUGAUCAAUUAUUGAACACUACAUCUGAAACUAUGUGUGUACUAUAUGUUGGCUAA